GAUGAACGCUGGCGGCGUGCCUAAUACAUGCAAGUCGAGCGAACAGACGAGGAGCUUGCUCCUCUGACGUUAGCGGCGGACGGGUGAGUAACACGUGGAUAACCUACCUAUAAGACUGGGAUAACUUCGGGAAACCGGAGCUAAUACCGGAUAAUAUAUUGAACCGCAUGGUUCAAUAGUGAAAGACGGUUUUGCUGUCACUUAUAGAUGGAUCCGCGCCGCAUUAGCUAGUUGGUAAGGUAACGGCUUACCAAGGCAACGAUGCGUAGCCGACCUGAGAGGGUGAUCGGCACACUGGAACUGAGACACGGUCCAGACUCCUACGGGAGGCAGCAGUAGGGAAUCUUCCGCAAAGGGCGAAAGCCUGACGGAGCAACGCCGCGUGAGUGAUGAAGGUCUUCGGAUCGUAAAACUCUGUUAUUAGGGAAGAACAAAUGUGUAAGUAACUAUGCACGUCUUGACGGUACCUAAUCAGAAAGCCACGGCUAACUACGUG
rnacentral:rRNA from 1 species